rnacentral:miRNA from 1 species
AAGAUCUAGCUCGUCCAGCAGC